GACGGAGGAUGCAAGCGCUAUCCGGAAUUAUUGGGCGUAAAGCGUUCGCAGGUGGCUGUUCAAGUCUGCUGUCAAAGACCGGGGCUUAACCCCAGAAAGGCAGUGGAAGCUGAACGGCUGGAGUGGAGUAUGGGUAGAGGGAAUUCCCAGUGUAGCGGUGAAAUGCGUAGAGAUUGGGAAGAACACCGGUGGCGAAAGCGCUCUGCUGGACUGCAACUGACACUGAGGGACGAAAGCUAGGGGAGCGAAAGGG
rnacentral:rRNA from 1 species